rnacentral:rRNA from 1 species
AGAGUUUGAUUCUGGCUCAGAACGAACGCUGGCGGCGUGGAUAAGACAUGCAAGUCGUGCGGAAGUUUGCGGGUAGCAAUAUUUGCAAACUUUAGCGGCGAAAGGGUGAGUAACACGUGGGUAAUUUGCCUUGAAGUUGGGGAUAACUUGUCGAAAGACAGGCUAAUACCGAAUGUGAUCCUGAUAUGUUAGCAUGACAGGAUUAAAGUUGGGGAUCCGUAAGGACCUGGCGCUUCAUGAUAAGCCCGCGGCCUAUCAGCUGGUUGGUGAGGUAACGGCUCACCAAGGCUAAGACGGGUAGCUGGUCUGAGAGGACGACCAGCCACACUGGAACUGAGACACGGUCCAGACACCUACGGGUGGCAGCAGUCAGAAUCUUUCACAAUGGGGGAAACCCUGAUGGAGCGACGCCGCGUGGGGGAUGAAUGGCUUCGGCCCGUAAACCCCUGUCAUCUGUGAUCAAGACCUUUCGGUGAAUAGCCGGACGGGUUGAUAGUAGCAGAAGAGGAAGGGACGGCUAACUCUGUGCCAGCAGCCGCGGUAAUACAGAGGUCCCAAGCGUUGUUCGGAUUUACUGGGCGUAAAGGGUGCGUAGGUGGCGGGAAAAGUUUGAUGUGAAAGCUCUGAGCUCAACUCAGAAACGGCAUUGAAUACUACUCUGCUAGAGGAUUGGAGGGGGGACUGGAAUUCUCGGUGUAGCGGUGAAAUGCGUAGAUAUCGAGAGGAACACCAGUGGCGAAGGCGAGUCCCUGGACAACUCCUGACACUGAGGCACGAAAGCUAGGGUAGCAAACAGGAUUAGAUACCCUGGUAGUCCUAGCCGUAAACUGUGCACGUUUGCUGUGGGCGGAUUCGACCCCGUCCGUGGCGAAGCUAACGCGUUAAACGUGCCGCCUGGGGAGUACGGUCGCAAGAUUAAAACUCAAAGAAAUUGACGGGGGCCUGCACAAGCGGUGGAGUAUGUGGCUUAAUUCGAUACAACGCGAAGAACCUUACCUGGCCUUGACAUGCAAGUGGUAGAAGCCUGAAAGGGUAACGACCCCGCAAGGGGAGCUUGCACAGGUGCUGCAUGGCUGUCGUCAGCUCGUGUCGUGAGAUGUUGGGUUAAGUCCCGCAACGAGCGCAACCCUUGUGUCCUGUUGCUACUUCCGCGAGAGCGGGAGGCACUCUGGACAGACUGCCUCAUUUAAAUGAGGAGGAAGGUGGGGAUGACGUCAAGUCAGUAUGGCCCUUACGGCCAGGGCUGCACACGUACUACAAUGCCCGGUACAACGGGAAGCAAUACCGCAAGGUGGAGCAAAUCCUCCAAAACCGGGCCCAGUUCAGAUUGUCGUCUGCAACUCGACGGCAUGAAGCUGGAAUCGCUAGUAAUGGCGCAUCAGCUACGGCGCCGUGAAUACGUUCCCAGGCCUUGUACACACCGCCCGUCACAUCAUGAAAGCCGGCUGUACCCGAAGUCGCUGCACUACCCCGGUUCGCCGGGGAGGUAGGUGCCGAAGGUAUGACUGGUGAUUGGGAUGAAGUCGUAACAAGGUA